GUGAGGAAUUUUCCGCAAUGGGCGAAAGCCUGACGGAGCAAUGCCGCGUGAAGGAUGAAGGCCUAUGGGUUGUAAACUUCUUUUCUCAGAAAAGAAUUAUGACGGUAUCUGAGGAAUAAGCAUCGGCUAACUCUGUGACAGCAGCCGCGGUAAGACAGAGGAUGCAAGCGUUAUCCGGAAUGAUUGGGCGUAAAGCGUCUGUAGGUUGUUUAAAAAGUAUUCUGUCAAAGAUUAGGGCUUAACCCUAGAUAGGCAGAAUAAACUUUUAAGCUAGAGUUUGGUAGAGGCAGAGGGAAUUCCCGGUGGAGCGGUGAAAUGCGUAGAUAUCGGGAGGAACACCAAAGGCGAAGGCACUCUGCUGGGCCAAUACUAACACUGAGAGACGAAAGCGAGGGGAGCAAAUGGGAUUAGAAACCUGGGUAGUCC
rnacentral:rRNA from 1 species